CCUACGGGAGGCAGCAGUGGGGAAUCUUGCGCAAUGGGCGAAAGCCUGACGCAGCCAUGCCGCGUGUAUGAUGAAGGUCUUAGGAUUGUAAAAUACUUUCACCGGUGAAGAUAAUGACUGUAGCCGGAGAAGAAGCCCCGGCUAACUUCGUGCCAGCAGCCGCGGUAAUACGAAGGGGGCUAGCGUUGCUCGGAAUUACUGGGCGUAAAGGGAGCGUAGGCGGACAUUUAAGUCAGGGGUGAAAUCCCAGAGCUCAACUCUGGAACUGCCUUUGAUACUGGGUGUCUUGAGUGUGAGAGAGGUAUGUGGAACUCCGAGUGUAGAGGUGAAAUUCGUAGAUAUUCGGAAGAACACCAGUGGCGAAGGCGACAUACUGGCUCAUUACUGACGCUGAGGCUCGAAAGCGUGGGGAGCAAACAGGAUUAGAUACCCUGGUAGUCCACGCCGUAAACGAUGAUUGCUAGUUGUCGGGAUGUUUACAUCUCGGUGACGCAGCUACGCAUAGACAGUCCGCCGUGGGAGGUACGGUCGCGAAGUAGUAAACGUUACGAAAGUAAGUUAGUUAGUCGUUGAGACGNGCGACGGACGACGACGAGGGAGGAGG
rnacentral:rRNA from 1 species